rnacentral:rRNA from 1 species
CGAGCACGCGCGUGUGGCAUAUCAAUAAGCGGAGGAAAAGAAACUAACUAGGAUUCCCUUAGUAACGGCGAGUGAAGCGGGAAGAGCUCAAAUUUGAAAUCUUCAAGGUUCUACCUUGACGAAUUGUAGUUUAUAAGAAGUGUUUUCUGUUAGUAGAGUUGGCUAAAAGUUCUUUGGAAUAGGACAUCAUAGAGGGUGAGAAUCCCGUAUUUGAUCAUUCUUUCUAGCUGUGUGAUACACUUUCAACGAGUCGGAUUGUUUGGGAAUGCAGUCCAAAAUGGGUGGUAAAUUUCAUCUAAAGCUAAAUAUUGGCGAGAGACCGAUAGCGAACAAGUACCGUGAGGGAAAGAUGAAAAGAACUUUGAAAAGAGAGUUAAACAGUACGUGAAACUGUCAAAAGGGAAGCGUUUGACACCAGUGUUGUUUUUCCGAAAAUCAAUUACGAAUGUUUUAUUUUUGAGAAGUUAUGACUUCAUCGGCUUGCUUCUCUCUUUAUGAAACUUUCUUAAUGCACUUUUCGGUUAACAAGUCAACAUCAAUUUCUUUUGUUGUAAAAGGGUAUGAGGAAGGUGGCUUUCUUUUCGGAGAAAGUGUUUAUAGCCUUGUGCCUCUGCAAUCGGAGAGAUUGAGGUCUGCAGCGUAGAUCCUUCGGGGUUAGAUACGUUUGUGCUAAGUUAUAGCUUUUCAUAGACAACUUGUUGACUAUGUUUAGUCUUGUAGCUUACUCGCUGACGCUAUUUUACCUACGCUUAGGAUGUUGAGCGCAUGUCUCUCUCU